rnacentral:lncRNA from 1 species
AAAGAAAGAGCUGAACUUACAAUUUAAAGUCAACAUUACUUGGAACCAGUGAAAUGGGAUUGCAUUUCUUCCUUGGGAAUAUUUUCCACUUGGUAUUGACAUGAUGAAUUCAUAUGCAAUUCAUGAAUCUGGUAUUGGAAGUAUUUAUGAAGCCCUUUAUUCAAUACUGCAUGAAGAGAUUGAGGAUGGGCAAUGUCCUAAUACCAUCACCUUGAGUAUUUUAAACCUUUCAAUCUGAAGUGGAUUAUGGGAGAUAACUGGCAGCAGUGAGACUCAGAGCUAUGG